AGAGUUUGAUCCUGGCUCAGGAUGAACGCUGGCGGCGUGCCUAAUACAUGCAAGUCGAACGAAGCGAUUUGGGAAAUUUAUUUUUCAGAUUGACUGAGUGGCGAACGGGUGAGUGAGACAUAAGUAAUCUGCCGUAAAGACUGGGAUAACUUUGAGAAAUUAAAGCUAAGACCGGAUAGGAAUUAUUGAGGCAUCUUAAUAAUUUUAAAGGGGCUUAUGGCCUUGUUAUACGAUGAGCUUAUGGCGCAUUAGCUAGUUGGUAAGGUAAUGGCUUACCAAGGCGAUGAUGCGUAGCCGGCCUGAGAGGGUGACCGGCCACACUGGGACUGAGACACGGCCCAGACUCCUACGGGAGGCAGCAGUAGGGAAUUUUCGGCAAUGGGGGCAACCCUGACCGAGCGACGCCGCGUGAGUGAAGACGGUCUUCGGAUUGUAAAGCUCUGUUAUCAGGGAAGAAUAAGGUUAUCAGGAAAUGGAUAAUCGAUGACGGCACCUGAUCAGAAAGCCACGGCUAACUACGUGCCAGCAGCCGCGGUAAUACGUAGGUGGCGAGCGUUAUCCGGAAUUAUUGGGCGUAAAGGGUGCGUAGGCGGCUAAUUAAGUACAAGGUUAAAGUUCAGAGCUCAACUCUGUGAUGCCUUGUAAACUGGUUGGCUAGAGUACAGGAGAGGUGAGUGGAAUUCCAUGUGUAGCGGUAAAAUGCGUAGAGAUAUGGAGGAACACCAGUGGCGAAGGCGGCUCACUGGCCUGUAACUGACGCUGAGGCACGAAAGCGUGGGGAGCAAAUAGGAUUAGAUACCCUAGUAGUCCAC
rnacentral:rRNA from 1 species